AUGGUUUUCUUGAGCCAGAGAUCGCUGAGCCAAAAGGAAAAGAGAAUCAACAAGCGGUUGCCACCAUCAUAUCCUCAUGCUUCGAAGGACUGCCCUCACCUACGAGCUUCUCGGAAGCGGCAUAAGCCGGCACAUUUCUCAGCAUCAUCAUAGCCUGACGAGCAUACACACCAACUACUUGUUCGGCACACACGAUCUCAACACGAGACUUCGGAUCGACAAUGGUUCGGUAAACGCGUACUUUAGGCACAAGUUUAAAUUCAACUUGCUUUUUAUUAGGCACGAAUUUGCAUUAGACUCGUUUAUUGUUAGACACGAGUUUACAAAAACUCGUCUUUGACUAGGCAUGAGUUUACAGAAACUCUCCUUUUACUAGGCACGAGUUCUCAGUAAAUUCGCCUCUGUCUUAGCAUGAGUCAAGUAAACUCGUCUUUCGCUAAGCACGAGUUUAAAGCAAACUUGCUUUUUACUAGGCACAAGUUCGAAAUAAACUCGCCUAAACCGUCAUAGGCAUGAAUGUGUCUAGUUCAUUGUCUAAUAAACCCUAUUCGUAAACUUCACAGAGAUCGAUUUCAUCUCUCUCAACGAACUUGGGGGGCUUACUGUUGGGGGUGUAUUUACAUCCUCCCUCAAGGCCUAUUAGACAUUGAAUUAGGUCUAUAUUGCUAAAAAGCCCUAGGCUUCAUCUUUCUCUAAAUAAGGAGCUACCUCCUUCUUAGGAAGGAUCUCUUCUUCCCCAUUUUUAGACCUAACACUUCAUACAAAGAGUUUAUUGAUUCUUAGAUUUAUUUACACUUGUAAUCAUACAUGUAAUACAAUCUUUGAUCUAUAAAUUCUUUUUGAUGUUCAUUUUCUAUUUGAUUUCUAUGUUAAUUUCUCUUAAGCCUCAAGAAUUUAAGAAAUAGAUUUUUUAAAUUCUUUAUUGUUAUGAAUCCAACAUAAACACCAUUUUUUGAUCAAACAACCACAUAACACCAAAAGUAGUGUAGGUGGAUUGACAACAUCCGGGUACUGAACGUGGUCGUGCUUAAUCUUAUUGCAGUUAGAAACUCUUGUUAUUAGAUAUACAUACUGAUAAGUAAAUAGAAACAUUAUUGAUAAGCAGUAUAUAUAUAACAACCUUAGAGCUUCAAGGCCCAAUAUCUGCUCACGUGGAAUCCAUCCUUCCACGUUCAUUAGGUCUAACCAGUGUCCAACAAUGUCCAAGGUUAUGCGGAAAUCCCAACGCCUAAAUCAACCUCACACAUGAGCACUUCACAGGAUGAUUUAGAAGACUUUAUUAAGAUAUUUUAGUCAUGAUAUCAACGAACCAGAUCAACAUUUGAUGGAAACCUUCAUCCGACAAUUGUCCCCAUGGAAGUUUGGAUCGGC
rnacentral:lncRNA from 1 species